rnacentral:rRNA from 1 species
GACGAACGCUGGCGGCGUGCUUAACACAUGCAAGUCGAACGAUGAAGCCGGGGCUUUUUGUUUUGGUGGAUUAGUGGCGAACGGGUGAGUAAUACGUGAGUAACCUGCCCUUGUCUUUGGGAUAAGCCUGGGAAACUGGGUCUAAUACCGGAUAUUCUGCUUUUGCCGCAUGGUGGGGGUUGGAAAGUAUUUUUUGGAUGGGGAUGGGCUCACGGCCUAUCAGCUUGUUGGUGGGGUGAUGGCCUACCAAGGCAAUGAUGGGUAGCCGGCCUGAGAGGGUGAACGGCCACAAGGGGACUGAGACACGGCCCUU